GGGCCUGGUUCUGAUCCUUCGUUCCUAGCUCGACCAAGAGUUGCUCUCUCAUCUUUUGCAACUUCUGGUCUACACUCUCCCCUUCCCGCCUGGGCUUCCUCUCCUGGUGGGCCUCCUCUUCCCAUGUCUCACUCCCCACUCUUCCGGUGGUUCCGGCGGAGUAGCUAUCGACUUCAUCAUUCUCUAUCAGCUCCUUCACCCUCCUUCCAUGAACUCGAGCUUCCGGCUCUUCCUCUUCUCCGGCUCUCCUCCUCCCGUCUCCGGUUUCUUGGUUGACAGUUCUGGG
rnacentral:lncRNA from 1 species